AACCCGACCUACACGAAGCUGGAAUCGCUAGUAAUCGCGAAUCAGAAUGUCGCGGUGAAUACGUUCCCGGGUCUUGUACACACCGCCCGUCACACCAUGGGAGUCGGGAAUGCCCGAAGUCAGUGACCCAACCUUUGGAGGGAGCUGCCGAAGGCAGGUCUGAUAACUGGGGUGAAGUCGUAACAAGGUACC
rnacentral:rRNA from 1 species